rnacentral:rRNA from 1 species
GUGGGGAAUUUUGGACAAUGGGCGAAAGCCUGAUCCAGCAAUGCCGCGUGCAGGAUGAAGGCCCUCGGGUUGUAAACUGCUUUUGUACGGAACGAAAAGCCUGGGGCUAAUAUCCCCGGGUCAUGACGGUACCGUAAGAAUAAGCACCGGCUAACUACGUGCCAGCAGCCGCGGUAAUACGUAGGGUGCAAGCGUUAAUCGGAAUUACUGGGCGUAAAGCGUGCGCAGGCGGCUUUGUAAGACAGUGGUGAAAUCCCCGGGCUCAAACUGGGAAGUGCCAUGGUGACUGCAAGGCUAGAGUGCGGCAGAGGGGGAUGGAAUUCCGCUUGUAGCAGUGAAAUGCGUAGAUAUGCGGAGGAACACCGAUGGCGAAGGCAAUCCCCUGGGCCUGCACUGACGCUCAUGCACGAAAGUGUGGGGAUCGAACAGGAUUAGAAACCCGAGUAGUCC